CCUACGGGAGGCAGCAGUGGGGGAUAUUGCACAAUGGGGGAAACCCUGAUGCAGCGAUGCCGCGUGAAUGAUGAAGGCUUUCGAGUCGUAAAGUUCUGUUCUUAGGGAAGAUAGUGACGGUACCUAAGAAGAAAGCCCCGGCUAAAUACGUGCCAGCAGCCGCGGUAAU
rnacentral:rRNA from 1 species